rnacentral:rRNA from 1 species
GACGAACCGUGCGAACGUUGUUCGGAAUCACUGGGCUUAAAGGGCGCGUAGGCGGGCCGGCAAGUCAGGGGUGAAAUCUUCCAGCUCAACUGGAAAAGGGCCUUUGAUACUGUCGGCCUCGAGGGAGGUAGGGGCAUGCGGAACUUCCGGUGGAGCGGUGAAAUGCGUAGAUAUCGGAAGGAACGCCGGUGGCGAAAGCGGCGUGCUGGACCUCUUCUGACGCUGAGGCGCGAAAGCUAGGGGAGCAAACGGGG